rnacentral:tRNA from 1 species
GGAAAGGUGGCAGAGUGGUCGAAUGCACCGGUCUUGAAAACCGGCGAACCGCAAGGUUCCGUGGGUUCAAAUCCCACCCUUUCCGCCA